UGAAUACGAGAUGCUACGGCAUCGAAGCAGUCUAUGUCAUACUUCCAAGAAAAGCUUGCACUGUCAUAAACAAAUAAUGCCUGUACCAUAACCGACACAGGUGGGUAGGUAGAGUAUACUAAGGGGCGCGAGAUAACUCUCUCUAAGGAACUCGGCAAAAUGACUCCGUAACUUCGGGAGAAGGAGUGCCUUAUUUAUAAGGUUGCAAUAACAAGAUCCAAGCAACUGUUUACCAAAAACACAGGUCUCCGCUAAGUCGUAAGACGAUGUAUGGGGGCUGACGCCUGCCCAGUGCCAGAAGGUUAAAGAAGUUGGUUAGCAUUCGCGAAGCUGAUAACUGAAGCCCUGGUGAACGGCGGCCGUAACUAUAACGGUCCUAAGGUAGCGAAAUUCCUUGUCGGGUAAGUUCCGACCCGCACGAAAGGCGUAAUGAUUUGGAUACUGUCUCAGAGAGGGGCUCGGUGAAAUAGACUUGUCUGUGAAGAUGCGGACUACCUGCACCUGGACAGAAAGACCCUAUGAAGCUUUACUGUAACUUGAAAUUGAAAUUGGACCUUAUUCGCGCAGCAUAGGUGGGAGGCGUUGAGAAUACUCUUAUGGGAAUAUUGGAGCCAUCAGUGAGAUACCACUCUUGUAAUGUUAGAUUUCUAACUUUGAAUCAUUAUCUGGUCAAAGAACAGUUUCAGGCGGGCAGUUUGACUGGGGCGGUCGCCUCCUAAAGGGUAACGGAGGCGCACAAAGGUUUCCUCUGAACGGGUAGAAAUCGUAUCUAGAGUGUAAAGGCAUAAGGAAGCUUGACUGUGAGACCUACAAGUCGAGCAGGGACGAAAGUCGGUCUUAGUGAUCUGACGGUGCUGAGUGGAAAGGCCGUCACUCAACGGAUAAAAGUUACUCUAAGGAUAACAGGCUGAUCUCCCCCAAGAGUUCACAUCGACGGGGAGGUUUGGCACCUCGAUGUCGGCUCAUCGCAUCCUGGGGCGGUAGUACGUCCCAAGGGUUGGGCUGUUCGCCCAUGAAAGCGGUACGCGAGCUGGGUUCAGAACGUCGUGAGACAGUUCGGUCCAUAUCCGGUGUAGGCGUUAGAAUAUUGAGAGGAGCCUUCUUUAGUACGAGAGGACCGAGAAGGACAUACCUAUGGUGUACCAGUUAUCGUGCCAACGGUAAACGCUGGGUAGCUAUGUAUGGAGUGGAUAACCGCUGAAAGCAUCUAAGUGGGAAGCCCACCUCAAGAUAAGUAUUCU
rnacentral:rRNA from 1 species